CUUGCUGACUGCAGUUCAGUUCCUGUCCCUUUCGUCCAAACACCGAGAGUAUAUUCUAUAGGAGACUUUCAGCUUUGGGUCAGCCAGACAGCAUUCCAACCAAUGCAUAAGUAAAGGAAUAAUGGACUCAUAGACCUUAGCUGAGUCACACUCAAGUGUCACAACUGCACUUCUUUUCAUGUACAAUGGAGUCCUGUUCUGGGGCCAGAGUGUUGUGCAGCAGAUGAAGAAGUGGAUCUGGAUGUGAACAAUGCCAUAGAAUUUGGUUUGCCAAAUCCUACCUCACAGGCUCGUUGGGUGGAUAAAAACGUGAUAACUCAAUGAAUGCUGCUUUGAGCUCCUCAAAGGAAGAAUGGGACAUGAAUGUGACAAAUAAGUAACUUGCUGGAUGGUUUAGACAUGUCAUAUCUAAAGAGGUCCAUCUGCAUUUGCCACCGGCUCGUCUGGUGACUACUCAGGGACGGGCCUUCUCCGUUGCUGCCCUGAGGCUUUGGAAUGCACUCCCUAAUGAAAUAAGAGCCUCCCCAUCUCUGACAAUUUUUAAAAAGUCUUUAAAGACGCAUCUGUUCACCCAGGCUUUUAACUGAUACUGUUUUGAUUGUUUUAGAAUAUUGUUUUAGAAUAUUGUUUUAAAUUUUUUUAAAUUGUUCUGUUUUAAAUUUCUUGUUUUUGUUUUUAACUAAUGUUUUAAUGUUGUUUUUAUCUUCUUGUAAACCACCCAGAGAUGUACGUUUUAGGAGGUAUAAAAAUGUGUAAAAUGAAAUAAAUAAAUAAAUAAAUAUCAGGAUUGCAAAUAGAAGUGCAGGAGGUGGCACACCCCACCUCUCCAUUCUCCUGAAGUCAUAUCCUCCCCUGCCCCACAUCCCUUCCCAGGACAUUUCUGACAAGUUCUGUAGCAAUGAUAAAUAAGUAUUGGGGGGCGGGGAUGAAGGCUGACACAUAUUCUCUAGUAUAGAAAAAGCCUGGGAGGGGAAAUGCUCCUCCCAUUAAAGGAAACAUUAAAACAUGCAAUUAAAAAAGAUAGGAAAAGAUUAAACCAGCAUUUCUGGGUUUCUAUCCUGACAAGCGAGUAGCUAAAAUAGGAAAAGGGCAUUUUAAAUAGUUUAUUCAGUAACUUGUAUGGCAAUAGAGAGCUUUCAUAAUGACAGUGACUGACAGGAAAUGAGUGGUCAGCACAUAACAUACAUAACACAGGGAAGGCAUGCCACCUGUUCAAUUAAGUUUCAAAUGCUUCUGCCCAGAAAUUUUUCAUGCUUCAGCAUUUCACUAGCAGAAU